AGGAAGUAAUUAAAUUAUAAUAUCACCUUGUCAAGGUAAAAUUGCAAGUUAAACUCUUGUUUCCCUCUA
rnacentral:tRNA from 1 species